GACGAACGCUGGCGGCGUGCUUAACACAUGCAAGUCGAACGGAAAGGCCCUGCUUUUGUGGGGUGCUCGAGUGGCGAACGGGUGAGUAACACGUGAGUAACCUGCCCUUGACUUUGGGAUAACUUCAGGCAACUGGGGCUAAUCCCGGAUAGGAGCUCCUGCUUCAUGGUGGGGGUUGGAAAGUUUCGGCGGUUGGGGGUGGACUCGCGGCUUAUCAGCUUGUUGGUGGGGUAGUGUCUUACCCUGGCUUUGACGGGUGGCCGGGCUGAGAGGGUGACCGGCCACAUUGGAACUGAGAUACGGCCCAGACUACUACGGGAGGCAGCAGUGGGGAAUAUUGCACAAUGGGCGGAAGCCUGAUGCAGCAACGCCGCGUGCGGGAUGACGGCCUUCGGGUUGUAAACCGCUUUCGCCUGUGACGAAGCGUGAGUGACGGUAAUGGGUAAAGAAGCACCGGCUAACUACGUG
rnacentral:rRNA from 1 species